rnacentral:antisense_RNA from 1 species
GGUCAGGCUGCAUGUAGAAAGGCUUCAACGAAGUUGGAUAAUGGGUAAUAAAUACAGGUUUGUCAAAGCUUUCGGCAAUCGCUGUUUCAUGGGGUGCGCCGAAAUCAUCUCCCCAUUGAAUAUCAUCAAAGCCUUUUUCGUGCAAUAAUUUAAUGGCUUCAUCAUAUGUUAUUCUUGGAAAAGGAGCCUUAAUAUUUUCAAGUUUGCUUGUAUCGCGCUCAAGUGUUUUUAAUUCAAGACUGCAAUUUUGCAAAAC